AGUCCCAACGGCUAGUAGACAUCGUUUACGGCGURGACUACCAGGGUAUCUAAUCCUNUUURCUCCCCACGCUUUCGCACCUCAGUGDCAGUAUUGGUCCAGGUAGCCGCCUUCGCCACUGGUGUUCCUUCCUAUAUCYACGCAUUUCACCGCUACACAGGAAAUUCCACUACCCUCUACCAYACUCUANCCWGACAGUUCGAAAUGCCGUUCCCAGGUUAAGCCCGGGGCUUUCACAUCUCGCYUACCAAACCACCUACGCGCGCUUUACGCCCAGNAAUUCCGAUUAACGCCUGCACCCUCCGUAUUACCGCGGCNGCNGGCACGGAGUUAGCCGGUGCUUCUUCUGYAAGUAACGUCAAGCCCCACAAGUAUUACCACAAGCCUUCCNCCCCACUGAAAGNGCUUUACAACCCGAAAGCCUUCUUCACACACGCGGCAGGG
rnacentral:rRNA from 1 species